CUCCCGGUUGAUCCCGCCGGACCCGACUGCUAUCAGAGUGGGACUAAGCCAUGCGAGUCAACGUAGCAAUACGUGGCAUACGGCUCAGUAACACGUAGUCAACAUGCCCAGGGGACGAGGAUAACCUCGGGAAACUGAGGAUAAACCUCGAUAGGCCAUGAUUUCUGGAAUGAUUCUUGGCUCAAACCUAUAUGGCCCCUGGAUUGGACUGCGGCCGAUCAGGCUGUUGGUGAGGUAAUGGCCCACCAAACCUAUUACCGGUACGGGCUCUGAGAGGAGGAGCCCGGAGAUGGGCACUGAGACAAGGGCCCAGGCCCUAUGGGGCGCAGCAGGCGCGAAACCUCUGCAAUGGGCGAAAGCUUGACAGGGUUACUCUGAGUGAUUUCCGCUAAGGGAAUCUUUUGGCACCUCUAAAAAUGGUGCAGAAUAAGGGGUGGGCAAGUCUGGUGUCAGCCGCCGCGGUAAUACCAGCACCCCGAGUGGUCGGGACGAUUAUUGGGCCUAAAGCAUCCGUAGCCGGUCCUGCAAGUCUUCCGUUAAAUCCAGCUGCUCAACAGAUGGGCUGCGGGAGAUACUACAGGGCUAGGAGGCGGGAGAGGCAAGCGGUACUUUAUGGGUAGGGGUAAAAUCCGCUGAUCCAUAGAAGACCACCAGUGGCGAAGGCGGCUUGCCAGAACGCGCUCGACGGUGAGGGAUGAAAGCUGGGGGAGCAAACCGGAUUAGAUACCCGGGUAGUCCCAGCUGUAAACGAUGCAGACUCGGUGAUGGGUUGGCCUCGCGCCUGCCCAGUGCCGCAGGGAAGCCGUUAAGUCUGCCGCCUGGGGAGUACGGUCGCAAGACUGAAACUUAAAGGAAUUGGCGGGGGAGCA
rnacentral:rRNA from 1 species